UACGUAGGGGGCAAGCGUUGUCCGGAUUUAUUGGGCGUAAAGAGCGUGUAGGCGGCUAGGUAGGUCCGUUGUGAAAACUCGAGGCUCAACCUCGAGACGCCGAUGGAAACCAUCUAGCUAGAGUCCGGAAGAGGAGAGUGGAAUUCCUGGUGUAGCGGUGAAAUGCGCAGAUAUCAGGAAGAACACCCGUGGCGAAGGCGGCUCUCGUGGGACGGUACUGACGCUGAGACGCGAAAGCGUGGGGAGCGAACAGG
rnacentral:rRNA from 1 species